rnacentral:rRNA from 1 species
AGCCUGAACGCUGGCGGCGUGGCUAAGACAUGCAAGUCGUACGGUGUAGCAAUACACAGUGGCGAACGGGAGAGUAAUGAAUCGCUAAUGUGCCCCGGACUCUGGGAUAGCCAGUCGAAAGAUUGGGUAAUACCAGAUGACAUAUCUUUAUCGCAUGAUAGAGAUCUCAAAGGUCCGCCGGUCUGGGAGCAGGCGAUUUCGUAUCAGCUAGUUGGUGAGGUAACGGCUCACCAAGGCGACGACGCGUAGCCGGACUGAGAGGUUGGCCGGCCUCAUUGGGACUGAGACACUGCCCAGACUCCUACGGGGGGCUGCAGUAACGAAUCUUCCGCAAUGCACGAAAGUGUGACGGAGCGACGCCGCGUGUGGGACGAAGUCCUUCGGGAUGUAAACCACUGUCAGGGGUUACCAAGUUCUGAGGAGCCCCAGAGGAAGGGACGGCUAACUCUGUGCCAGCAGCCGCGGU